rfam:Gasterosteus aculeatus cont1.015101, whole genome shotgun sequence.
GACUCUGUGGCGCAAUGGACAGCGCGUUGGACUUCUAGUUGAUCAUCAUGAAAGUAAUUCAAAGGUUGUGUGAUUGGAGUCCCACCAGAGUUG